CAUUUUGCAAAAUGGAGCUUGUCUUACUUCUCUGUGCCGUUUCUCUUCUGCAUUCAUGUGAAGCACAAGAGUCCAGUGCUGUGACUCCUGUGUUUGUGCAGAAGGGAGAGGAUGUGCUUCUGAAUGUCACAAUAGCUGAUGAUCCUGAAGAAGAUACUGUUACCUGGAAAUUCAAUAAAACAGUUAAUUUAGUACGAUUUUUACCUGGUAAAGAACCAAAAGUCUCUGAUGAUUACUCUGGAAGGAUUGAGUUGCUUGAGAAAUACUCUGUGAAAUUGAAGAAUCUACAAGAGGCAGACAGUGGAGUUUAUACGCAGUAGUGUCUGUGUUAGGCCUACUGCUGCUAGGUAGCUCUCUCUCUGCUCUUCCCCUCCCCUCUGUCUGUUCUUUAUUGCAGGAGUGAAGUCUGGUGUGCGGGAGUCAGGGUUCCAGCUGCAGCUCAUUCACCAUAAUCACCUCAGCCUUAAAUACCCGGUCAACCUUGCCACUCAUCGUCAGAUCAUAGCCAAGAUUUCCACCUAUUCGGAACCCGACUCCUGCCUCCGCUUCACUCCUGCCACCAUCAUCCUGCUUUCCACUACUGGACGUCAUUUGGAUUCACCACGGACACUCGGACAGUACGGUACCACUCCUGCUCAGAACUCUGGAACUGUUUCCCACUCUGUAGACCUG